rnacentral:rRNA from 1 species
CCUACGGGAGGCAGCAGUGGGGAAUAUUGCACAAUGGGGGAAACCCUGAUGCAGCGACGCCGCGUGAGUGAAGAAGUAUUUCGGUAUGUAAAGCUCUAUCAGCAGGGAAGAAGAAAGACGGUACCUGACUAAGAAGCCCCGGCUAACUACGUGCCAGCAGCCGCGGUCAUACGUAGGGGGCAAGCGUUAUCCGGAUUUACUGGGGGUAAAGGGAGCGUAGACGGCUGUGCAAGUCUGAAGUGAAAGCCCAGGGCUAAACCCUGGGAAUGCUUUGGAAACUGUGGAGCUAGAGUGCUAGAGAGGUAAGUGGAAUUCCUAGUGUAGCGGUGAAAUGCGUAGAUAUUAGGAGGAACACCAGUGGCGAAGGCGGCUUACUGGACAGUAACUGACGUUGAGGCUCGAAAGCGUGGGGAGCAAACAGGAUUAGAUACCCUGGUAGUC